UCCCUGCAGCGAUUGGAAGAU
rnacentral:piRNA from 1 species